rnacentral:tRNA from 1 species
GGGGAUGUGGCUCAGUGGUAGAGCGUUCGCUUCGCAUGUGAAAGGUCCCGGGUCCGAUCCCCGGCAUCUCCA